rnacentral:rRNA from 1 species
UACGGAGGGGGCUAGCGUUGUUCGGAAUUACUGGGCGUAAAGCGCACGUAGGCGGCUUUGUAAGUUAGAGGUGAAAGCCCGGGGCUCAACUCCGGAAUUGCCUUUAAGACUGCAUCGCUAGAAUUGUGGAGAGGUAAGUGGAAUUCCGAGUGUAGAGGUGAAAUUCGUAGAUAUUCGGGAGAACACCAGUGGCGAAGGCGACUUACUGGACACAUAUUGACGCUGAGGUGCGAAAGCGUGGGGAGCAAACAGG